rnacentral:rRNA from 1 species
CUGCUGCCUCCCGUAGGAGUCUGGUCCGUGUCUCAGUACCAGUGUGGGGGGCCUUCCUCUCAGAACCCCUACGCAUCGUCGCCUCGGUGGGCCGUUACCCCGCCGACUAGCUAAUGCGCCGCAUGCCCAUCCGUGGCCGGGAUUGCUUCCCUUUGGCGGCCUUGGGAUGCCCCAAGGCCGCGUUACGCGGUAUUAGACGGGGUUUCCCCCGCUUAUCCCCCUGCCACGGGCAGGUUGCCAUACGUGUUACUCACCCGUGCGCCGGUCGCCGGCAACGG